AACGUAGGACGCAAGCGUUAUCCGGAGUUACUGGGCGUAAAGCGCGGGCAGGCGGCCUCGCAAGUCUGAUGUGAAAGCACUCUGCUCAACAGAGUGAUGCCAUUGGAAACUACGAGGCUGGAGUCUGGCAGAGGUAGGCGGAAUUCCGGGUGGAGUGGUGAAAUGCGUAGAGAUCCGGAGGAACACCAGAGGCGAAGGCGGCCUACUGGGCCAGUACUGACGCUGAGCCGCGAAAGCCAGGGGAGCGAACGGG
rnacentral:rRNA from 1 species